rnacentral:tRNA from 33 species
CCGCCGUUAGCUUACUGGACAGAGCACUGGCUUUUUGAUGCAGGGGACGGGGUUAAAAUCCCUGACGGCGGUCCA